GACGAACGCUGGCGGCGUGCCUAAUACAUGCAAGUUGAGCGCUGAAGGUUGGUACUUGUACCAACUGGAUGAGCAGCGAACGGGUGAGUAACGCGUGGGGAAUCUGCCUUUGAGCGGGGGACAACAUUUGGAAACGAAUGCUAAUACCGCAUAAAAACUUUAAACACAAGUUUUAAGUUUGAAAGAUGCAAUUGCCUCACUCAAAGAUGAUCCCGCGUUGUAUUAGCUAGUUGGUGAGGUAAAGGCUCACCAAGGCGAUGAUACAUAGCCGACCUGAGAGGGUGAUCGGCCACAUUGGGACUGAGACACGGCCCAGACUCCUACGGGAGGCAGCAGUAGGGAAUCUUCGGCAAUGGACGAAAGUCUGACCGAGCAACGCCGCGUGAGUGAAGAAGGUCUUCGGAUCGUAAAACUCUGUUGGUAGAGAAGAACGUUGGUGAGAGUGGAAAGCUCAUCAAGUGACGGUAACUACCCAGAAAGGGACGCCUAACUACGU
rnacentral:rRNA from 1 species